rnacentral:tRNA from 2 species
GGGGGCGUAGUUCAGUUGGUUAGAACGCUGGCCUGUCACGCCAGAGGUCGAGGGUUCGAGCCCCUUCGUCCCCG